rnacentral:rRNA from 1 species
AGCAGCCGCGGUAAUUCCAGCUCCAAUAGCGUAUAUUAAAGUUGUUGCAGUUAAAAAGCUCGUAGUUGAAUUUCGGGGUCAGUAGGUUGGUCGUGCCACCGGUACGUACUGGUCUCACUGAUUCCUCCUUCCUGAUGAGCCGUAAUGCCAUUAAUUUGGUGUUGCGGGGAAUUUGGACUGUUACUUUGAAAAAAUUGAGUGUUUAAAGCAAGCUAACGCUUGAAUACAUUAGCAUGGAAUAAUGAAAUAGGACGUUCGAUCCUAUUUUGUUGGUUUCUAGGAUUGACGUAAUGAUUAAUAGGGAUAGUUGGGGGCAUUAGUAUUCAAUUGUCAGAGGUGAAAUUCUUGGAUUUAUUGAAGACUAACUACUGCGAAAGCAUUUGCCAAGGAUGUUUUCAUUAAUCAAGAACGA